UCUUAAACCUCGGCCGCGCUCGUGCGCACGCCCGGCUCGUGCGCACCUGCCCGGCGCCGCCCCCGGGGCGCUGGCCGCAUCGCUCUCACCUGCGCAGGUCGCGGGGCCGCUGGGAGGACGCCGCGGAGAGCCCGGAGCGAGGCCGGGGUGGGGCGUGCCCGGCCGGGGCCGGAGACCAGGAGGGGCUGGUGCGAACCGGCAGGAGCCCGCUGGACGCCGACGGGUCCCCGCUGCCCCCCGUGCAGGGCCGGUGCCGCUCUGGUCCCGUCCCGGUUCCUGGUGACACACGGGAGGCGGAUGGAUGACCGUUCUGUCCAAGGUGACCCGUGAGAGCGAGCCGUUUGCAGUCUGCGGAACGCACAAGCCAUGUCUUAUCACGAGGGUGUCAGUGAACUGACGCCUGUCUCCUGACAGGGAUCAGCCAAUCUCCAGGCUGUAACCCGUGGUCCUUCACGUCUUCGUCUCCUGGGAGCUCACUGUGGAAGGAACCCUGCAGACAGAAAGGAGUAAGACAGCAGGAAUCACGGUAAAAGUGGAGACAAGUUCAGAGUGUUGGUGGAGCUCUGAAACCGAUUAGGAAGUGAGUGGGAAGAGUCAGAGCAGAUAUCCAGAGGCCACAGGAUCCUGUUCAAACCUCCGAUGACUUGAGUCCAGUCCUCCAUUGCUGUCAGACUCACCCAUCCUCCUGCACAUGUUCAGAUGUUUCAGGACUCUGUGGUCUUUGAGGACGUGGCUGUGAACUUCAACCCGGAGGAGUGGGCUUUGCUGGACCCGGUUCAGAGACAUGAUGCUGGACACCCUCAGAAAUCUGGCCUUCGUGGGUGAGGACAGCUUCACGCCCACACUUGUUCCCUAAAGGACGAAGCAUUUCUCAUCGGUGUUGUUGCAAGAUUCGAAAUGUGGAAAAGGAGUACACUGGUAAAUAAGACAGAUGUUGUCACAGCCAUCCUGGACCUAGAAUCUAAUAACCUUCCCAGGACAAUGGAGACUUUAUUUUUGUCUUGGUUUAAAAGAUUGGAAGCUCCUUUAAUGUCAUUGGUGCGGGUACAGCCUUCAUGGGUCAUUUUGGUUCCCAGAGGGAGGGUCCUGGUUUGGAAUGCUGUGAUGGUCUUCAGUGACUUGCCUGACUUUUGACCCCUUGUGCCUGUCUGCUGAAGUCCUGAAAGUGCUGAAGUCCUCAACGUCUGUCUUUGCUCAUGGUGCCUUAUUCCUGAAUAUAUUUAUGCACUUUUCUGUUGUUUCAGAUUAUGAGACACUGUUUAAAGCUAGUGCGUCAGUGUCUCAGCAGGAUACAUGUGAGGAAAAAAUAUCUGACAAACAGAAAAUAGCAAAACUCACAAAAUAUAACUCUUGUGCCUACAUUUUAAGAAAAAGUUGGGACAAUCACAGCAUUGAAGAUCAGCAGAAAAACCCAGGGCAGACACCUGAGAAAUCACAAUGUGGAUAGAGUCUGUGAAUCUAAUGAAGGAAAUCAGUGUGGAGAAACCUGUAGUCACAUUCCCAAUCUUAAUCUGUGCAAGAGUGUUUAUACCAGAGGAAAACCAUAUGAAUGCAUCAAAUGUAGAAAAGAUUUCAUGAAUCUUUCUUCCUUUAAGGGGCAUGUCAGAUCUCACCACAGACAAAAACCCUAUCAGUGCCAGGAAUGCAAGCAGACCUGCAUUUGUCCCACACACCUAAGAACUCACACUAGAGACAAGCCCUAUGGAUGUACAUUAUGUGGGAAAACCUUUAUUUCCCCUCGCUCGACCAGCACAUCCUGGUUCACAAGAGAGAGAGAAAUGCAGGCAGCGUGGGAAAACCUUCGGAGAGUUCUCUAGUCUUACUAGACACGUGCAAACGCAUGAUAGGGAGAAGCCAUAUAAAUGUAAGGAGUGUGGGAAAGCUUUCGUUUAUCCCUCACUGUUUCAAGGACGUAUGAUAAUAUACAGUGGGGAGAAGCCCUACAGUUGUAAGGAACGUGGGAAAGCCUAUCAUUAUCUGCAAUCUUUUAAAAGACAUGAAAAGGCUCACACUGGAGAGAAACCCUAUGAAUGCAAGGAAUGUGACAAAGCAUUCCUUUGGCUUGAAAGCUUUUGAGCACACAUGAGAAUACACACUGGAGAGAAACUCUAUAACUGUGAAGACUGUGGGAAUGCUUACACUUCUCUCAAAUACUUUCAAGCCCAUGUGCGAACUCAUACUGGAGAGAAGCCUUACAAAUAAAAACACUGUGGGAAACCCUUCAACUGGAAGUCAUCCUUAUGGUACCACCUGAGGACACACACUGGGGAGAAACAUUAUGAAUGUAAACCGUCUACCGUCGGCACUCAGCCUUACAGAACCACAUGAGGAUGCACACUGGAUAGCAACGCAAUGACUGCAAAGGAAUCCAAACACAACACUACAGUCAGUCAUCAAAUCACAAGAGAACCAAAGAGAAAAGGAAGAAAAAAGACCUACAAAAACAAAUCCAAGACAAUGAACAAAAUGGCAGGAAGAACAUACAUAUCAAAAAUUACCUUAAACGUAAAUGGCUUAAAUGCUCCAACCAAAAGACACAGAUGGCUGAAUGGAUACAAAAACAAGACUCGUAUAUACACCAUCUACAAGAGAUGCACUUCAGAUCUAGGGACACAUACAGACUGAAAGUGAGGGGAUGGAUAAAGGUAUUCCAUAUGAAUGAAAAUUAAAAGAAAGCUGGAACAGCAAUACUCAUAUCAGAUAAAACAGUCUUUAAAAUAAAGACUAUUACAAGAGACAAGGAAGGACACUACAUAAUGAUCAAGGGAUCAAUCCAAGAAGAAGAUAUAACAAUUGUAAAUAUCUAUGCACCCAACAUAGGAGCCCCUCAAUACAUAAGGCAGAUGCCAACCACCAUAAAAGGGAGAAAUCAACAGUAACACAAUAAUAGCAGGGGACUUUAACACCCCAUUUUGAUCAAUGAACAGAUCAUCCAGAGAGAAAAUGAGGAAAUACAGGCCUUAAAUGACACAUUACACCAGAUGGACUUAAUUGACAUAAAGCAUUCCAUCCGAAAGCAGCAGAAUGCACUUUCUUCUCAAGUGCACAUAGAACAUUCUCCAGGAUUGACCACAUGCUGGACCACUAAAUGAGCCUCAGGAAAUUUAAGAGAAUUGAAAUCAUAUCAAGCAUCUUUUCUGACCAUAACGCUAUGAGAUUAGAAAUCAAGAAAAAAACUGUUAAAAAAUACAAACAUGUGAAGCUUAAACAAUAUGCUACCAAACAGCGAAUGGACUACUGAAGAAAUCAAAGAGGAAAUCAAAAAAUACCUAGAGGCAAAUGAAAACACGAUUCAAAGCCUAUUGGAUGCAGCAAAAACCAUUCUAAGAGGGAAAUUUAUAGCAAUACAAUCGUACCUCAGGAAACAAGAAAAAUCUCAAGUAACCUAAUUUUACAGCUAAAGCCACUAGAGAAAGAACAUACAACACCAAAAGUUAGUAAAAAGAAAGAAAUCAUAAAGAUCAGAGCAAAAAUAAUGAAGAGACAAAGAAAACAAUAGAAAAUAUCAAUGAAACUAAAAGCUGGUUCUUUGAAAAGAUAAACAAAAUUGAUAAACCUUUAGCCAGACUCAUCAAGAAAAAAAAGGAAGAGGGCUCAAAUCAUUAAAAUCAGAAAUGAAAAAGGAGAAGUUACAAUGGACACCACAGAAAUACAAAGGAUCAUAGGCGACUACUACAAGCUACUAUAUGCCAAUCAAAUGGACAAACUAGAAGAAAAGGACAAAUUCUCAGGUACGCUUUCUUAAGACUGAAUCAGGAAGAAAUAGAAGAUAUGAAUAGACCUAUCAAAAGUAACUGAAAUUCAAACUGUGAUUUAAAAACUCCCAACAGGGAAUUCCCUGGUGGUCCAGUGAUUAGGACUCCAUGCUUCCAUUGCAGGGGACACAGGUUCAAUCCCUGGUCCAGGAACUGAGAUCCCACAUGCUGAGCAGUACAGCCAAAAAACAUUAAAAAAGAAAAGAACUCUCAACAAACAGAAGUCCAGGACAAGAUGGCUUCACAGGCAAAUUCUAUCAAACAUUUUGAAAAGAGUUAAUGUCUAUGCUUCUGAAACUACUGCAAAACAUUGCUGAGGAAGGGACACUCCUAAACUCAUUCUGUCAGGCAGCUGUCCCCAACACCAGACAAAGAUACAACAAGAGAAAAUUACAGGCCAAUAUCACUGUUGAACACAGACACAAAAAUCCUCAAUGAAAUAUUAGCAAACCGAAUCCAGCAAUACAUUAAAAGGAUCACACACCAUGAUCAAGUGGGAUUUAUCCCAAGGAUGCAAAGAUCUUUCAAUAUCCACAAAUCACUGUGAUACACCACAUCAACAAAGUGAAGAAUAAAAACCAUAUGAUCAUCUCAACAGAUGCAGAAAAAGCUUUUGACAAAAUUCAACACCAAUUUAUGAUAAAAACUCUCCAGAAAGUGGAUGUGGAGGAAACAUACCUCAACAUAAUAAAGGCCAUUUAUGACAGAUCUACAGCUUACAUACUCAACAGUGAAAAGCUGAAAGCAUUUCCUCUAAGAUCAGGAACAUGACAAGGAUGUCCACUCUCACCACUUUUAUUCAACAUAGUUUUGGAAGUCCUAGCCAUGGCAAUCAGAAUAAAAAGAAAUAAGAGGAAUCAAACUUGGAAAAGAAGAACUAAAACCCAACUGUUUACAGAUAACAUGAGACUAUACAUAGAAAAUUGUAAAGAUGCUACCAGAAAACUACUAAAGCUCAAUGAUGAGUUUGUUAAAGUUGCAGGAUACAAAAUUAAUACAUAGAAAUCUGUUGCAUUUCUAUAUACUAACAAUGAGAGAUCAUAAAGAGGAAUUAAAGAAGCAACCCCAUUAACCAUCGCAUCAAGAAUAAAAUACCUAGAAAUAAACUUACCUAAGGAGGCAAAAGACCUAUACUCCAAAAACUUUAUAAGACACUGAUGAAAGAAAUCAAAGAUGACAAAAAUGGACAUAAAGAUACACCAUGUUUUUGGACUGGAAGAAUCAAUAUUUUCAAAAGGCAAUCUACAGAUUCACUGCAAUCCCUAUCAAAUCACAAAUGACAUUCACAGAACUAAAAGAAAAUAUUUUUAAAUUCAGAUGGAGACACAAAAGACCCCAAAUUGACAAUCUUGAGAAAGAAAAUCAGAGCUGGAAGAAUUGGGCUCCCUGACUUCAGACUAUACUACAAAGCUGUGGUCAUCAAGACAGUAUGGUACUGGCACAAAAACAGAAAUAUAGAUCAAUGGGACAGGAUGGAAAGCCCAAAAAUAAAGCCAUGCACUUAUGGCUAAAUAAUCUAUGACAGAGGCAAGAAUAUGCAGUGGAGAAAAGACAGUCUCUUCAAUGAGUGGUGCUGGGAAAACUGGACUUCUACCUAUAAAAGAAUCAAAUUAGAACAUUCUCUAACAUCAUAUACAAAAUAAACUCAAAAUGGAUUUGGGGACUUCCUAGGUGGCGCAGUGGUUAAGAAUCCGCCUGCCAAUGCAGGGGACAUGGGUUUGAUCCCUGCCCCAGGAAGAUCCCACAUGCCAUGGAGCAACUAAGCCCAUGCGCCACAACUAUUGAGCCUGUGCCCUAGAGCCCAUGAGCCACAACUAUUGAAGCCCACACGCCUAGAGCCUGUGCUCCACAGCAAGAGAAGCCACUACAAUGAGCCCUCACACCACAAUGAAGAGUAGCCUCCACUCACAGCAACUAGAGAAAGCCCAUGUGCAGCAACGAAGACCCAAUGCAGCCAACAAAUAAAUAAAAUUAAUUAAUUAAUUUAAAAAAAUGGAUUAAAGACCUAAGUGUAAGACAGGAUACUAUAAAACUCUUCAAGGAAGAUACAGGAAGAAUCUUCUUUGACAUGAAUUGCAGCAAUAUCUUUUCCGAUCUGCCUCCUAGAGUAAUAGAAAUAAAAACAAAAAUAAACAGAUGGAACCUAAUUGAACUCAAAAGCUUUUGCAUAGCAAAGGAAACCAUAAAGAAAUGAAAAGACAACCCACAGAGUGGGAGAAAAUAUUUGCGAAGGAUGCUACAGACAAGGUCCAAAAUCUACAGACAGCUCAAUAUCAAAAAAACAAACAACCCAAUCAAAAAAUGGGCAGGAUACCUAAAAAGACAUUUCUCCAAAGAAGACACACAGAUGUCCAAGAGGCACAUGAAAAGAUGCUCAACAUUGCUAAUUAUUAGAGAAAUGCAAAUCAAAACUAUAAUGAGAUUACCACCUCACACCAGUCAGAAUGGCCAUCAUCAAAGAGUCUACAAACAACAAAUGCUGGAGAGGGUGUGGAGAAAAGGAACCCUCCUACACUGUUGGUGGGAAUAUAUGUUGGUGCAGCCACUAUGGAAAAAACUAAAAAUAGAGCUACCAUAAGAUCCAGCAAUCCCAUUCAAUCCCAUUGCUGGGUACAUAUCUGAGAAAACCAUGGUUCGAAAGGAUAGAUGCACCCCAGUGUUCAUUGCAACUGUUUACAAUAGCCAAGACAUGAAAGCAGCCAUCAGCAGACAAAUGGAUAAAGAAGAUGUGGUACAGAUAUACAAUGGAAUGUUACUCAGCCAUAAAAAGGAAUAAUGCCAUUUGCAGCAACAUGGAUAGACCUGGAGAUUAUCAUACUAAGCGAAGUAAGUCAGACAGAGAAAGCCAAAUAUCAUAUGGUAUCACUUAUAUGCAGAAUCUUUUAAAAAAUGAUACAAAUGAGCUGAUUUGCAAAACAGAAACACACAGACUUAGAAAACAAACUUAUGGUUACCAAAGGGAAAAGGUGGGGGAGGGGUAAAUUGGGAGUCUGGGAUUGACAUAUACACACUACUAUAUUUAAAAUGGACCUACUGUAUAGCACAGGGAAGUCUACCCAAUAUUCUGUAAUAACCUAAAUGGGAAAAGAAUUUGAAAAAGAAUACAUACAUGUAUAACUAAAUCACUUUGCUGUACACCUGAAAGUAACUUAACACUGUUAAUUCCCUAAUAUAAAAUAAAUUUUUUUAAAAUCAAUUAUUAUUUUGCAGGAGAAAACCCUAAUUAACACUGCUGUAUGUUACUUAUGAAAGUUGUUAAGAGAGUAAGUAAAUCCUAAGAGUUUUCACACCAAGGAAAAAAUAUUUUUUUUCUAUUUCUUUAGUUUUGUAUCUGUAAUGAGAUGGUGAAUGUUCACUAAACUUAUUGGGUUAAUCACUUCAUGACGUAUGUAAGUCAAAUCAUUGUGCCGUACACCUUAAACUUAUACAGUGCUGUAUGUCAAGUGUAUCUCAAUAAAACUGGAAAGAAUUAAAAAAAAAAAAACAAUGACUUUUUUUUUUUUUUGUGGAAGGAGAAUCCCAUCCUAAAAUUCAAAUUAGAAUCUCAACAGACCUUGAAUAACUGAAACAACGAAUAGAAUAGAGAGCCCAAAAGUAAACCCUUUGCUAUAUGGUCAAGUGAUUUUUUUUUUACUUGAGUGAAGAGGGAAAAGACCAUCCAAUGGGGAGAGGACAGCAUUUUCAGCAGAUAAUGCUAGGAAAUACAGUAUCCACAUGGAAAAGAAUGAAGCUGGACCCUUACCUGAUAUACAAAAAUUAACUCAGAAUAGCUCAAGCACCUAAAUGUAAGACCUACAACAAUAAAACUCUAGGAAGAAACCAGGACAAAAGUUUCAUGACAUUGGAUUUGGCAAUGAUUUCCUGGAUAUGACACCAAAAGCCCAGGUAACAAAACAAAACAAUAAAGACAAAUUGGACUGCUUGAAAUUAAAUUUGUGCAUCUAAAGACAUUAUCACCAGAGUAAAAAGGCAACACACAGAAUGUGAGAAAACAUUUGCAAAUAACAUACCUGA